AGAGUUUGAUCCUGGCUCAGGAUGAACGCUGGCGGCGUGCUUAACACAUGCAAGUCGAGCGAAGCAGUUAAGAAGAUUCUUCGGAUGAUUCUUGACUGACUGAGCGGCGGACGGGUGAGUAACGCGUGGGUGACCUGCCCCAUACCGGGGGAUAACAGCUGGAAACGGCUGCUAAUACCGCAUAAGCGCACAGAGCUGCAUGGCUCGGUGUGAAAAACUCCGGUGGUAUGGGAUGGGCCCGCGUCUGAUUAGGCAGUUGGCGGGGUAACGGCCCACCAAACCGACGAUCAGUAGCCGGCCUGAGAGGGCGACCGGCCACAUUGGGACUGAGACACGGCCCAAACUCCUACGGGAGGCAGCAGUGGGGAAUAUUGCACAAUGGGGGAAACCCUGAUGCAGCGACGCCGCGUGAGCGAAGAAGUAUUUCGGUAUGUAAAGCUCUAUCAGCAGGGAAGAUAAUGACGGUACCUGACUAAGAAGCCCCGGCUAACUACGUGCCAGCAGCCGCGGUAAUACGUAGGGGGCAAGCGUUAUCCGGAUUUACUGGGUGUAAAGGGAGCGUAGACGGCAAGGCAAGUCUGAUGUGAAAACCCAGGGCUUAACCCUGGGACUGCAUUGGAAACUGUCUGGCUCGAGUGCCGGAGAGGUAAGCGGAAUUCCUAGUGUAGCGGUGAAAUGCGUAGAUAUUAGGAAGAACACCAGUGGCGAAGGCGGCUUACUGGACGGUAACUGACGUUGAGGCUCGAAAGCGUGGGGAGCAAACAGGAUUAGAUACCCUGGUAGUCCACGCCGUAAACG
rnacentral:rRNA from 1 species